rnacentral:tRNA from 1 species
ACACCAUUAGCUCAACGGACAGAGCAGUAGACUUCUAAUCUAUUGGUUGCAGGUUCGAGUCCUGCAUGGUGUGCCA